AUUGAACGCUGGCGGCAGGCCUAACACAUGCAAGUCGAACGGUAACAGGAAACAGCUUGCUGUUUCGCUGACGAGUGGCGGACGGGUGAGUAAUGUCUGGGAAACUGCCUGAUGGAGGGGGAUAACUACUGGAAACGGUAGCUAAUACCGCAUAACGUCGCAAGACCAAAGAGGGGGACCUUCGGGCCUCUUGCCAUCGGAUGUGCCCAGAUGGGAUUAGCUAGUAGGUGGGGUAACGGCUCACCUAGGCGACGAUCCCUAGCUGGUCUGAGAGGAUGACCAGCCACACUGGAACUGAGACACGGUCCAGACUCCUACGGGGGGCAGCAGUGGGGAAUAUUGCACAAUGGGCGCAGGCCUGAUGCAGCUAUGCCGCGUGUAUGAAGAAGGCCUUCGGGUUGUAAAGUACUUUCAGCGGGGAGGAAGGGAGUAAAGUUAAUACCUUUGCUCAUUGACGUUACCCGCAGAAGAAGCACCGGCUAACUCCGUGCCAGCCGCCGCGGUAA
rnacentral:rRNA from 1 species